AAUGAAUUUUUUUGGGCCCCUAUACACUUGCGUCACUGUUCUUCGACUGUGCGCAAAGACUUGGCUGUACAUAUGUACUGCUGGUAACAGGUGGCAAGAUGUGUGAAACAAAAACGGAAAGUGACAAGUGACAAGAGACGUGAUGAACCCAGGGGAGACACUGUGCCCGUCCUUCGCAUAAUGUCAGUGAUGCAACGGUUUUGUGAGUUAUUGUGGCUGCUGGUUAGUAAAUCAUGGCCAACGAUGUAGGAAUGAAAAGAGAAGUUCCCUCUGUGAAUCCAAUCUGCAUGACUUUUGUGCGUAAUCAGAAAGAAAUGAAGUCUUAUAC